rnacentral:rRNA from 1 species
UAAUACGGGGGGAGCAAGCGUUGUUCGGAUUUACUGGGCGUAAAGGGCGCGUAGGCGGCCACCGCAAGUCAAUUGUGAAAUCUCCGGGCUUAACUCGGAAAGGUCAACUGAUACUGCGGGGCUAGAGUGCGGAAGGGGCAACUGGAAUUCUCGGUGUAGCGGUGAAAUGCGUAGAUAUCGAGAGGA